CUACAGCGGUACAGCCCUUCACAAGGUCCUUUAAACCUGGCCUUCAUCUCUUGCUCUUUCUCUUUGCAUUUCAGAUAUAUUUAUUAUUAGUGACAGUGCAACGAUGGAUUGUUUUAAUAUUUUCAAAGAGGACAAGGUAGAGGGGAUGAUAAAAAUGAAAGCGGAGGUUUACACCCUAGAUGGAACCGUCGAUGGACGUGGUCAUCCAGCAAUCCGGGACAGAACUGGAACAUGGGUCGCUGGAAUUCUAAUACUAGUGAAUCAAGGGCUGGCCACGUUGGCAUUCUUUGGAGUGGGAGUGAACUUGGUUCUGUUUCUGACAAGGGUGUUGGGCCAAGACAAUGCUACAGCAGCAAACAACGUGAGCAAAUGGACCGGAACGGUUUACAUCUUCUCACUACUGGGAGCCUUCCUUAGUGACUCUUACUGGGGGAGGUAUAAGACUUGUGCGAUCUUCCAGGCCAUCUUUGUCUUUGGUCUGGUCUCAUUGUCCCUAUCAUCUUACAUAUUCCUACUCAAGCCCAGUGGCUGUGGCGAUGAUCAAUUUCCAUGUGGAUCCCACUCAACAUUCCAGAUUGCGCUGUUCUACCUCUCCAUCUACCUUAUUGCCCUAGGAAAUGGAGGAUAUCAGCCCAACAUAGCUACCUUUGGGGCUGAUCAGUUUGAUGAAGAGGACCCUGAAGAAGGGCACUUGAAAAUAGCCUUCUUCAGCUACUUUUAUUUGGCUUUGAAUCUUGGGUCUCUUUUUUCAAACACCAUAUUGGGAUAUUUUGAGGACCAUGGGAUGUGGGCACUUGGAUUUUGGGCGUCCACCGGUUCUGCUGUUUUGGCAUUGGUCUUGUUUCUUAGCGGGACUCCCAGGUACAGGCACUUCAUACCUAAAGGCAAUCCUCUCUCCAGGUUUUGCCAAGUGGUUGUUGCUGCAACAAGAAAGUGGGAAUUUGAGAUGGUGAAAAAUCAUGAGAAUAUGUUUGAAAUAGAUGGGAAGAAGUGUUCCAAAGAUGAGGAUAGAAAGAUACUUCACACCGAAGGAUUCAGAUUCUUGGACAGAGCAGCCCUUAUCACACCCAGUGAUUGCUCUGACAGGGAGAAUAACAUUCUCAAUCCAUGGCGUCUUUGCACGGUUACACAGGUGGAAGAGGUCAAGUGCAUAUUGAGGAUCCUCCCAAUUUGGCUGUGCACAAUUCUAUACUCUGUUGUAUUCACUCAAAUGGCAUCGCUUUUCGUGGAACAAGGUGCUGCUAUGAAAACUACCAUCUCAGGCUUUCACAUUCCUCCUGCAAGCAUGUCCAGUUUUGACAUACUCAGUGUUGCAGCAUUCAUAUUCAUGAAUAGACGAGCUC
rnacentral:misc_RNA from 1 species